GACGAACGCUGGCGGCGUGCUUAGCACAUGCAAGUCGAACGGAAAGGCCCUGCUUUUGUGGGGUGCUCGAGUGGCGAACGGGUGAGUAACACGUGAGUAACCUGCCCUUGACUUUGGGAUAACUUCAGGAAACUGGGGCUAAUACCGGAUAGGAGCUCCUGCUGCAUGGUGGGGGUUGGAAAGUUUCGGCGGUUGGGGAUGGACUCGCGGCUUAUCAGCUUGUUGGUGGGGUAGUGGCUUACCAAGGCUUUGACGGGUAGCCGGCCUGAGAGGGUGACCGGCCACAUUGGGACUGAGAUACGGCCCAGACUCCUACGGGAGGCAGCAGUGGGGAAUAUUGCACAAUGGGCGGAAGCCUGAUGCAGCAACGCCGCGUGCGGGAUGACGGCCUUCGGGUUGUAAACCGCUUUCGCCUGUGACGAAGCGUGAGUGACGGUAAUGGGUAAGGAAGCACCGGCUAACUACGUG
rnacentral:rRNA from 1 species